rnacentral:rRNA from 1 species
GACGAACGCUGGCGGCGUGCUUAACACAUGCAAGUCGAGCGGAGCGGCGAACGGGUGAGUAACGCGUGAGUAACUGCCCCCCUCUCUGGGAUCACAGUUGGAAACGGCUGCUAAUACCGGAUAGUGGGGGAUGACUCGCGUCCUAUCAGCUUGUUGGUGGGGUAGGGGCCUACCAAGGCGGCGACGGGUAGCCGGCCUGAGAGGGCGAACGGCCACAGUGGGCUAAGAGAGGGCGCAAACGCCUACGGGAGGCAGGAGGGGGGAAUCUUGCACAGUUGGGGAAACCCUGAGGCAGCAGCGCCGCGUGCGUGAUGACGGCCUGCGGGUUGUGAACCGCUUUCAGCCAUGACGCGGUAGUGGCAGAAAAAGCACCGGCUAACUACGUGCCAGCAGCCGCGGUAAUUC